UUUUCAGUGAAAACAUCUAAUUUUAUAAUAUGUAUAUAAGAGAUUCUUGAUGCUGAUAUUAUCCACAAUGCACAAUAAUUAGCAUUAUGAAUUAAUGAUCUCUGAAUGUAUCGAAAGGCAGCUGUUUCACUAGCACAUCUUCAAGUCGACAAUGUUGCGAGGACCCAGAAAUGGUGGGCGUACGAGAAAGAGCUGAUUCUGAUGAUGAGAGCUAGCUAGCUAAACCAAGCCACUUGUUACCAAACUUUCAGUUAGCCUGCCAGCUUUUACAUUUGGUGAAAUACGACAUUACUGAAGGUCACAACAUGAAAAAUGUGUGUCAUUGUAUGUAUGAAGCAUUAUGAAUGAAUGAUCUCUGAAGGUAUCAAAAGGCAGCUGUUUCACUAGCAAAAGCUGUACAUAACUUGGCUAGCUAGCUAGCUGUGCUAUGUCAGAGAAUAGCCUUGUGCUUAAAUGACUCAAAUGGCAAGUCUAACCCAAGCAAGGCAGUUAUUCAUGCUAUAUUUGAUGACUGACUGGUUGAACAACUGAAAACUGUCAAGAGAAAAUAAAUGCAUGGGACCCUUUUUUCAAAAGUUUGACUUGAUUUGCAUUAACAAUGCUUCUUGACAUACAUGUUUUCCUUAUGCUUGUGGUUAUAGUUGAGCCAAGUGCCUUUCAAUCAUGGGAUUGCAGACUAUCUGAAAUAAUUACAAAGUUUGUCAUGGGCACGAGCCCAUGGGGUUGGUACAAUGUCAAGUCGCACCCUGUACUACACAAGAAUAAACAGGACUAUGUUUUCGAACCCAGGCAUUGUGGCAUAAAUGUCACCACAAGCCCCUGCCAAGGCAAAGUAGCUGGUGAAGGAGAGUGAGUGACGUACACAUCCUUCAGAAAGGACAACAUCUACUAGGCUAUAUAAUGGACUGAGACUAUGAAGAGCUGGUUGAGGAAGAACUGGCUGUGGGUGGUUGGGGGGUCCUUUCUUGGCAUCCAUAACCACCUGGCUCAUGCAGAGGGCUAUGAGAAGCGUCGCUCGCUCUGAGAUGUCACUGAAAGAGAAGGAUUCCCAGGAGUGACUGGUGGUGAGGCGUUUUGCCAGUUGACUACUAUAUUUUUAACGACUCACGUGUGGAGUAAAUGGAAUUUAACUCUGAACUCAAGAUAAUGAUGUAAUUACCUGUGCUUGAUUAGCUGCAAAUGUUAUUCCUCUGUUAGAGAUCAAAUUAAACUAUGAAUUUCA